rnacentral:rRNA from 1 species
GACGAACGCUGGCGGCGUGCUUAACACAUGCAAGUCGAACGGAAAGGCCCUGCUUUUGUGGGGUGCUCGAGUGGCGAAGGGGUGAGUAACACGUGAGUAAGCUGCGCUUGACGGUGGGAUAACUUCAGGAAAGUGGGGCUAAUACCGGAUAGGAGAUGCUGAAGCAGGGGGGGGGUGGGAAAGUUUCGGCGGAGGGGGAUGGAGUCGCGGCUUAUCAGCUUGUUGGGUGGGUAGUGGCUGACCAAGGCUUCGACGGGUAGCCGGCCUGGGAGCGGGACCGCCCUCAUUGCUACUGCGAUACGCCCCAGACUCCUACGUUGGGCAGCAGUGGAGAAUAUUGCACAAUCAGCGGAAGCCUGUUGCAGCAACGCCGCGUGCGUGAUGACGGCCUUCGGGUUGUAAACCGCUUUCGCCUGUGACGAAGCGUGAUUGACGGUAAUGGGUGAAGAAGCACCGGCUAACUACGUG